GCACAAGCGGUGGAACAUGUGGUUUAAUUCGACGCAAAGCGAAAAACCUCACCAAGGUUUGACAUACCAAUCGUAUCCCUAAGAAACUAGGGAGUCAGUUCGGCUGGAUUGGAUACAGGUGUUGCAUGGCUGUCGUCAGCUCGUGUCGUGAGAUGUCGGGUUAAGUCCUUUAACGAGCGCAACCCUCAUUGCAUGUUAAUUUUUCAUGCGAGACUGCCCUGGUUAACAGGGAGGAAGGUGGGGAUGACGUCAAGUCAGCAUGGCCCUUACACCUUGGGCUACACACGUGUUACAAUGGCCGGUACAAUAAGUCGCAAUACCGUAAGGUGGAGCUAAUCUAUGAAAACCGGUCCCAGUUCGGAUUGGGGGCUGAAACUCGCCCCCAUGAAGUCGGAAUCGCUAGUAACCGUGAAUCAGCACGUCACGGUGAAUACGUUCCCGGGUCUU
rnacentral:rRNA from 1 species